GGGAAUAUAGCUUAAUUGGUAGAGCAUUAACUUGUCACGUUAACGGUUCUCGGUUCAAGUCCGGGUAUUCUCG
rnacentral:tRNA from 1 species